rnacentral:rRNA from 1 species
UAGGGAAUCUUCGGCAAUGGACGGAAGUCUGACCGAGCAACGCCGCGUGAGUGAAGAAGGUUUUCGGAUCGUAAAGCUCUGUUGUAAGAGAAGAACGAGUGUGAGAGUGGAAAGUUCACACUGUGACGGUAUCUUACCAGAAAGGGACGGCUAACUACGUGCCAGCAGCCGCGGUAAUACGUAGGUCCCGAGCGUUGUCCGGAUUUAUUGGGCGUAAAGCGAGCGCAGGCGGUUAGAUAAGUCUGAAGUUAAAGGCUGUGGCUUAACCAUAGUAGGCUUUGGAAACUGUUUAACUUGAGUGCAAGAGGGGAGAGUGGAAUUCCAUGUGUAGCGGUGAAAUGCGUAGAUAUAUGGAGGAACACCGGUGGCGAAAGCGGCUCUCUGGCUUGUAACUGACGCUGAGGCUCGAAAGCGUGGGGAGCAAACAGGAUUAGAUACCCUGGUAGUCCACGCUGUAAACGAUGAGUGCUAGGUGUUAGACCCUUUCCGGGGUUUAGUGCCGUAGCUAACGCAUUAAGCACUCCACCUGGGGAGUACGACCGCAAGGGUUG